AUCGAACGCUGGCGGCAGGCCUAACACAUGCAAGUCGAACGAUUGGCGGACGGGUGAGUAAUGUCUGGGACACUGCCCGAUGGAGGGGGAUAACUACUGGAAACGGUAGCUAAUACCGCAUACCAUCACAUGUGCCUAGAUGGGAUUUGUUUGUGGGUGGGGUAACGGCUCACCAAGGCGACGACCCCUAGCCGGUCUGCGAGGAUGACCAGCCAAAUUGGAACUGGGACACGGUCAGAACUCCUAGGGAGGGAGGAAGUGGGGAAUAUUGCAAAAUGGGCGCAAGCCUGAUGAGGCCAGCCCGCGUGGAGGAAGAAGGCCUUCGGGUUGUAAAGUACUUUCAGCGGGGAGGCGUUACCCGCAGAAAAAGCAACGGCUAACUCCGUGCCAGCAGCCGCGGUAAUAC
rnacentral:rRNA from 1 species